GGGGAAUUUUCCGCAAUGGGCGAAAGCCUGACGGAGCAAGACCGCGUGAGGGAGGAAGGCUCUUGGGUUGUAAACCUCUUUUCUCAGGGAAGAAGCAAGUGACGGUACCUGAGGAAUCAGCCUCGGCUAACUCCGUGCCAGCAGCCGCGGUAAUACGGAGGAGGCAAGCGUUAUCCGGAAUUAUUGGGCGUAAAGCAUCCGCAGGUGGCUAUUGCAAGUCUGUCGUCAAAGACCGGGGCUUAACUCUGGGAAGGCGGUGGAAACUGCAAAGCUAGAGAGAGGUAGGGGUAGAGGGAAUUCCCGGUGUAGCGGUGAAAUGCGUAGAGAUCGGGAAGAACAUCGGUGGCGAAAGCGCUCUACUGGACCUGACUCUGACACUCAGGGACGAGAGCUAGGGGAGCGAAUGGGAUUAGAUACCCCAGUAGUC
rnacentral:rRNA from 1 species